rnacentral:misc_RNA from 1 species
GUUUAUUCAAACCCAAACAAAUCCCACAUUUCUGUUUCUCAGCCGCCGAGCAACCAAAACGCCAAAAUGUCAGUCGAUUCAGCGCCGCCGGUGGAAAAACUCACCCUAACCGACGUCGUAGAGGAGGCGAGAUUCUCUCAACGCGUCCCGAUCUGUUCAAUCGUCGGCCGUACCGACGGAGGAGCUGGACUCGCCGGAAAUGUUGUCAAAAUCGGUGGUUGGGUCAAAACAGGAAGAGAACAGGGCAAGGGUUCAUUCGCUUUCCUCGAAGUGAAUGACGGUUCAUGCCCAGGGAAUCUUCAAGUGAUCGUUGAUGCUUCAGUUCAUAAGCUUGGUGAUUUGGUACUUACUGGUACUUGUGUACAUGUGGAAGGUGAAUUGAAGGUUCCUCCUGAAGGUGCGAAGCAGAAAGUUGAGCUUCGUGUUCAGAAGGUUAUAUCUGUGGGUACUGUUGAUGCUGCUAAGUAUCCAUUGCCGAAGACUAAGUUGACGCUUGAGUUUUUAAGGGAUGUUGUUCAUCUUCGAUCCCGAACGAACACUAUUUCUGCUGUUGCUAGAAUCCGUAAUGCCUUAGCUUAUGCCACCCAUACAUUCUUCCAAAACAAUGGGUUUCUUUAUAUCCACACCCCAAUAAUCACAACAAGUGAUUGUGAGGGUGCUGGUGAGAUGUUCCAAGUUACUAGUUUGAUUAGUGAAGCUGAAAAGUUGGAGAAGGAGCUGAAAGAGAAUCCUGCUCCUUCAGAAUCUGACACUCAAGCUGCUGAGAAACUCGCCAAAGAGAAAGGUGAGGUAGUUGCUCAGCUAAAAGCUAGUAAGGCGAGCAUGGACAAAACUGAUCCCAAUAUUGCGGACAUCAACAAGAAAAUCAGUGCUGCAGUUGCCGAGCUACAACGAGCUAAAGAGAAUCUCCUGAAGUUGCAAGAGAGAUCUAAAUUGGGAGAAAGAUACAGACUCUCUGCUGGUAUUCCUAAAAAGGAUGGAAAGAUUGAUUACUCUGAGGAUUUUUUUGGACGACAAGCUUUCUUGACAGUGUCUGGCCAACUCCAAGUUGAAACCUAUGCAUGUGCACUUUCUAGUGUGUAUACUUUUGGACCAACUUUUCGAGCUGAACAGUCCCACACUACUCGGCAUCUUGCAGAGUUCUGGAUGGUGGAGCCUGAAAUUGCUUUUGCUGAUAUCCAGGAUGAUAUGAAUUGUGCUGAGGCGUAUGUGAAGUUUCUGUGUCAGUGGUUACUUGACCAUUGCCUUGAUGACAUGGAAUUUAUGACUAAAUUUGUAGAUAAAGAUGCUCUGAGUAGACUUAGAAUGGUUGCCUCAUCGAACUGCCAUCGGAUAACUUAUACAGAAGCCAUAGAUAUUCUUGAGGUAGCAGCCAAAGUGAAGAAAUUUGAAAAUAAAGUAGAGUGGGGGAUUGACUUAGCAUCUGAACAUGAAAGAUAUUUGACCGAAGAGCAUUUUAAGGCACCUGUUAUUGUGUUCAACUAUCCAAAAGGGAUAAAAGCAUUUUACAUGAAGGUGAAUGAAGACAACAAGACAGUUGCUGCCAUGGAUCUGCUAGUACCAAAGGUGGGAGAACUAAUUGGAGGAAGCCAAAGAGAAGAGAAUUAUGAAGUCCUCAGAUCAAGGAUACUGGAUCUGGGUCUACCACUAGAGCCAUAUGAGUGGUAUCUGGACCUGAGGCGCUAUGGUACUGUAAAGCACAGUGGUUUCGGUUUAGGCUUUGAACGAAUGAUUCUGUUUGCCACUGGGAUAGAAAACAUUCGGGAUGUCAUUCCCUUCCCUAGAUAUCCAGGGAGAGCCGAUCUUUAAUCCAUACCGAUAGACAUGGAUACCUAUUUAUUUAGUUUUGAAAUUAUGACACCAUUUUCUAAAUUGUAAUUGCUAUUUAAAAGUUCCAAACAAAUUCAGAUACAGGAAACCUGUAUCAUAUUGUAAUCUCUCAGGAGGGUUUGGGGUGAGUGGCUGAGCGCGUUUGCAGUGUAUUUCAUCUAACACUUGCUGCUGGGUUUACAAAAUAUGCAUUCUGGUUUUUAGUAAAACUGAUUUUGUAGAUGGCUUUGUUGGACAUAUCAUAUUUCUUUGUUAUUGGAAAUGCUGUCACUUUGUUUAUGUGAUUUUUUGGUUUGAU